rnacentral:rRNA from 1 species
GACGAACGCUGGCGGCGUGCUUAACACAUGCAAGUCGAACGGAAAGGCCCUGCUUUUGUGGGGUGCUCGAGUGGCGAACGGGGGCGUAACACGUGAGUAACCUGCCCUUGACUUUGGGGUAACUUCAGGAAACUGGGGCUAAUACCGGAUAGGAGCUCCUGCUGCAUGGUGGGGGUUGGAAAGUUUCGGCGGUUGGGGAUGGACUCGCGGCUUAUCAGCUUGUUGGUGGGGUAGUGGUUUACCAAGGCUUUGACGGGUAGCCGGCCUGAGAGGGUGACCGGCCACAUUGGGACUGAGAUACGGACCAGACUCCUACGGGAGGCAGCAGGGGGGAAUAUUGCACAAUGGGCGGAAGCCUGAUGCAGAAACGCCGCGUGCGGGAUGACGGCCUUCGGGUUGUAAACCGCUUUCGCUUGUGACGAAGCGUGAGUGACGGUAAUGGGUAAAGAAGCACCGGCUAACUACGUG